GUCAGAAUUGAAAACCAAUCAACACGUCUGUUCAGACUGGGGCGGUAUUGUAAAAACAUCAUGGAGU
rnacentral:snoRNA from 1 species